rnacentral:rRNA from 1 species
GACGAACGCUGGCGGCGUGCUUAACACAUGCAAGUCGAACGGAAAGGCCCUUCGGGGUGCUCGAGUGGCGAACGGGUGAGUAACACGUGGGUGAUCUGCCCUGCACUUUGGGAUAAGUCUGGGAAACUGGGUCUAAUACCGAAUAGGACCCCGUCCUUCAGGGGUAGGGGUGGAAAGCGUUUGCGGUGUGGGAUGGGCCCGCGGCCUAUCAGCUUGUGGGUGGGGUAAUGGCCUACCAAGGCGACGACGGGUAGCCGGCCUGAGAGGGUGACCGGCCACACUGGGACUGAGAUACGGCCCAGACUCCUACGGGAGGCAGCAGUGGGGAAUAUUGCACAAUGGGCGCAAGCCUGAUGCAGCGACGCCGCGUGAGGGAUGACGGCCUUCGGGUUGUAAACCUCUUUCAGCACAGACGAAGCGCAAGUGACGGUAUGUGCAGAAGAAGGACCGGCCAACUACGUGCCAGCCGCCGCCGUAAUAC